GUCGAGGGGCAACGGGGAUGUUAGCUUGCUAAUAUCUGCCGGCGACCGGCGCACGGGUGAGUAACGCGUAUGCGACCUGCCCGUCACAGGGGGAUAAUCCGGAGAAAUCCGGUCUAAUACCGCAUAAUAUCGUGAAUCUGCAUGGAUUUGCGAUUAAAGGAGCGAUCCGGUGACGGAUGGGCAUGCGUGACAUUAGCUAGUCGGCGGGGUAACGGCCCACCGAGGCGACGAUGUCUAGGGGUUCUGAGAGGAAGGUCCCCCACACUGGUACUGAGACACGGACCAGACUCCUACGGGAGGCAGCAGUGAGGAAUAUUGGUCAAUGGGCUUACGCCUGAACCAGCCAAGUCGCGUGAGGGAAGACUGCCCUAUGGGUUGUAAACCUCUUUUGUCAGGGAGCAACGCCGGCUACGUGUAGCCGGACUGAGAGUACCUGAAGAAAAAGCAUCGGCUAACUCCGUGCCAGCAGCCGCGGUAAUACGUAGGGAGCAAGCGUUGUCCGGAAUUACUGGGUGUAAAGGGUGCGUAGGCGGCCGUAAGGGUCAGACGUGAAAUAUAUGGGCUUAACCCAUAGACUGCGUUUGAAACUAUAUGGCUUGAGUGAAGUAGAGGCAGGCGGAAUUCCCUGUGUAGCGGUGAAAUGCGUAGAGAUAGGGAGGAACACCAGUGGCGAAGGCGGCCUGCUGGGCUUUAACUGACGCUGAGGCACGAAAGCGUGGGUAGCAAACAGGAUUAGAUACCCUGGUAGUCCACGCUGUAAACGAUGAUUACUAGGUGUGGGAGGUCUGACCCCUUCCGUGCCGCAGUUAACACAAUAAGUAAUC
rnacentral:rRNA from 1 species